UCUCAUCCUGUGACUUACAAUGCCUAACCUCCUGGGAAUGCAGCCCAGUACGUCUCAGCCUCAUUUUACCCAGCUCUGUAUUCAAGAUACAUUCACUCUGGUCCCAACGCCUCUGACACUACGUUCCAGGGAUUACGGCAUGAACAUACUGUUUUCAGGACCCUAUCUAGCCCACCAUGGAUUUUCAGAGCUGCCCUUGGCCAUCUGGAAGAUGCAUGGUGAAAGAAACGGAUGCUUGCUCUCAGCACACACUUCCUUCCCUGACAGUUUGUCGCCUAG
rnacentral:lncRNA from 10 species